AGUGAAGACAACCAUCAAAGCAUCUUUAUUAAAGAGGACAGAGAGAAGAUGAGAGAUCCAGAAUCCUGCAGAUUCAAACACACUGAAGACACUGAAGAACUAACAGAGUUGAAUGAAGAAAUAGUGGAGAAUGAAGAAUCAAGUGAUUUUGAGG